rnacentral:rRNA from 1 species
UUCCAGACUCCUACGGGAGGCAGCAGUGAGGAAUAUUGGUCAAUGGGCGGGAGCCUGAACCAGCCAAGUCGCGUGAAGGAAGAAGGUACUUAGUAUUGUAAACUUCUUUUGUCGGGGAACAAAGGCGGAGACGCGUCUCCGGAUGAGUGUACCCGAAGAAAAAGCAUCGGCUAACUCCGUGCCAGCAGCCGCGGUAAUACGGAGGAUGCGAGCGUUAUCCGGAUUUAUUGGGUUUAAAGGGUGCGUAGGCGGUCGGAUAAGUUAGAGGUGAAAUCCCGAGGCUCAACUUCGGAAUUGCCUCUGAUACUGUUCGGCUAGAGAGUAGUUGCGGUAGGCGGAAUGUAUGGUGUAGCGGUGAAAUGCUUAGAGAUCAUACAGAACACCGAUUGCGAAGGCAGCAUACCGGCGCCCUACUGACGCUGAGGCACGAAAGCGUGGGUAUCGAACAGGAUUAGAUACCCCGGUACGA